rnacentral:lncRNA from 1 species
AUGCCUCCCGCAAAGAAGGGUGGUGAGAAGAAUUACAGUUCUGCCAUCAGUGAGCUGGUGACCAGAGAAUAUACCAUCAACAUUCACAAGCGCAUUCAUGGAGUUGGUUUCAAGAAGAGUGCCCCUCGGGCACUCAGCGAGAUCUGGAAAUUUGCCAUCAAGGACAUGGGAACUACGGAUGUGCACACUGAUACCAGGCUUAACAAAGCUGUCUUGACCAAAGGAUUAAGGAAUGUCCCAUAUGGCAUCCCUAUGCUUUCAAAAAUCUACAGACAGUCAAUGUGGAUGAGAACUAA